rnacentral:rRNA from 1 species
GAUGAACGCUGGCGGCGUGCUUAACACAUGCAAGUCGAACGAAGCACUUUAACCGAUUUCUUCGGAAUGAAGUUUUAGUGACUGAGUGGCGGACGGGUGAGUAACGCGUGGGUAACCUGCCUCACACAGGGGGAUAACAGUUGGAAACGGCUGCUAAUACCGCAUAAGCGCACAGUACCGCAUGGUACGGUGUGAAAAACUCCGGUGGUGUGAGAUGGACCCGCGUCUGAUUAGCUAGUUGGCAGGGCAACGGCCUACCAAGGCGACGAUCAGUAGCCGACCUGAGAGGGUGACCGGCCACAUUGGGACUGAGACAGGCCCAAACUCCUACGGGAGCAGCAGUGGGGAAUAUUGCACAAUGGGGGGAAACCCUGAUGCAGCGAUGCCGCGUGAGCGAAG